rnacentral:sRNA from 1 species
UUAAAUCUUUUAAAACCCUUUUAAAAUCUUUGGUAAAUAUUUUAAAAUCCCUUGUAAAUCUUUUAAAAUUCCUUGUACAUUUUCCGCCAAAAACAUUUGUUACGAA